rnacentral:tRNA from 2 species
GCGGGUGUGGCGGAAUGGUAGACGCACCAGAUUUAGGUUCUGGCGCCUUUGGCGUGGAGGUUCGAGUCCUCUCACCCGCA